AUCAAAAACACCUUUUCCAAGAUAGAGUUUGGGCUUGCUUCUUUCAUCAUACAAACUUAACCUAUGGGUUUUGACUUCUACCUUUUCCUUUAUCUCUUAUCUUUCUAGAGUUAAAAUUUUAAUCUCUUAUGCGGUUUUUUGCCUGAUAUCUACUCCCUCAAUGAAAGAGGACACCCCUAACUCAGAUCUAAUACUUCUAUAGUAAAGAAAAAGGUUGGGCUUCCUUGCAAAGGAGGACACUCUUUCCUAAUUAUCUAAGAGUGCAGAUUGGAAGAAAUAAGGAUUUAUUGGGAGAUUUCUAAGCUUGGUGAUAAUAUUAUUUGCUAAAUGCCAAAUCUUUUAUGUUUACAUAUACAUGCUUAGUAUCGGCCUUGGUAAUCUAAUAGACGAGGUGGUCUCUUACUUCUGCAACACUUUUUAACUGUCCCUUGGCCAACUAAACUCGGGAGUGUGGCAAACUAUCACCUAUAUUCAUGCACUUACUUUUAUGUUGGGUGUUAGUUUUACCUUGACUCAUCUUCUUAUACUCUAUUUCCUAUGCUUGCUACAGGGUGAGAUAAUUAAAUUGAUCUAUUAGGGCACUAAAUCCUCUACUGGGGAAAUAAGUUAAUUAUAAUCUGCUUGGGUGAUUCCAAGACUAUGAGUGGACUGAUCACUUUAUGUAUCCCUUACAGGCCUCUUUGGGGCUUUUUAUAUAUUUCCAUGGAAUACUCAUCUUAAGUUUUUGUGCAUUAUAUCUCUUUUUUACCUUGCUUCUCAUUAGUACGUCACUUUUUUAUGCAUAUUUCAUAGAUCCACAGUGGCAUCUACCUUGAGACAGCAAGCUCUUUGGUAAAACCUAGAUGAUUUUCCUUUAGGUGGCUUUAUUCUCAAAUGUACCACUGUAGAUAACCACACCUGUGCUAGUGUAUCAAGCUAUCAUGGAUGGAAAGCAAAGAAUCACGAUAAGGAUCUUUUAUAUUUGAGUAAGCCUUAAUUAUUUUAAAAUUUUUAGGAUAUUUCUUAUGCUCUUUUCUACACCAUUUUUGAAGCCAGACUCUGUGAUUCUCCCAUCUUUUGUUGUGUCUCUUAGCCUUGUUGGAUGGACUUUUGAGAGUCACUUCCAUUCUCAGACAGACACAAGCCUGGAACUUCUUUCUAACAAUUCUCUUGUUCCCCAUAGCUCUAGUAGUUUGGGGAAUUACUGGUACUAUCAUAAUUAACAAGAGAAUAUAAUCUUGAAGAAAAGUAGUUUCCAUUGGGAGUUCUGAUAGCUUACCUUACGUAACUUCAAAUAAUUGGGAGAAAUCUCCCAUCUUUGUUGAGUAUGAGAUAGCCAAGCUAUUUUAUUUUAUGGACAAUGAAAGGAAUGAUAAGGGGUCCACCUCGUGCUCUACCUAUUUUAACUAAGAUCAUCCCUUGUAGGGCUAGUCAUAGUCAAAGGUAGUAUCUCCACCUAUCCCUGUGUGUUUGAGUUUUCGAAUGCUAGUUCUUUCUUCAUCUUAAGUCUUGUAGGUAUAGAUCCUUCUACUGAUCAUGCUACCUCGUAUUAAUAGACGACCAUCUUAGUUGUUCUUAGUGAGGUAAACCUUGUUUAUCUCAAGGCUGAUUAAGGUAACUAAUUAUGUAAAUAUCGGCAUUUCCUCAAAGGACUAUCACAAAAUGAAAGAGACCUUUAUUCAAUGCAUAAAUAAAUUAUGUCUCUCAUUAUAUAGUGAGGGUAAGUUAUACUUGUCCCCCUUUUAUUUUUCUUUAGGAACAACUCCUAACAUGCUUCUUUUUUUAGGCAAGUGUCUUAAUGGUUGAGGUGCUUCAAUGAUUAUUGAUGGAGAAGGAAAGUUACUGGUGAGACUCUUGGGGCUCAAAGGUUCUCUAUAUAUUUUGCAAGAGUCGAGCAUUUCUGCCAAUAUUACAACCUAGUGGUUAUCAGAAAUUAAAGUGCUCAAGGCCAAAUUUUAUGCACUUCAAAUUAAAAGGGAUAACCAUCAAAGGGAUGUGCUUCCCUUCUAGCAGAGCAAGUGGCCAUUCUCCAACAGGAGAACCUUUUAUAGUCUAGUUCUAUCAGCACCCUUCUCAAGGGAUAAAUACAUUUAUACUGCCUGCUUGUGCAACCCUCACUCAAAGGGGCAUUCCCCAUCUCCUUCUACAUUUAUACUGCCUGCUUGUGCAACCCUCACUCAAAGGGGCAUUCCCCAUCUCCUUCUACUUAAGAGCCAACUAGGGCCAAGAUCCAUCAUAUGAAAAAGAGGUUCAACACAUUGGAGAAGUAGGAGUUUGCUCGAAGAAAAGUCCUUGACCUCAAGAUGACAUAGGACAGUUUAUCUUGGCAUUCAUCCUUCAUGAGUUCAAAAAGCAACAUCUAAAAUUCAAGAGGGAGAUUGAUAAGUCCUAUGAUUUGGCUAGCCAUAUUGGAAGUCUAGAUCUAAGAGCUAAGGGAUUUGUACUUUAGAAAGAGGAAGAGGACGUAUCUAAUUCUAAGGGAUCGUUUGAUUUGAAAAUGGUUAUCCUGGAAUAACAUAUCCCACCAUGUAUAUGGGAUAAAAAUGGUGGGAUAAGUUAUCUCGGAUUGUAUUAAUUCCUCCAACCAAAUAAAGAAAAAUGUAUUCUUUUAUUUUAUUUCGGGAUAAUUAGUUAUUCCAGAAUGAUCAUUUUCAAACCAAAUACCUAAGGGUGUUAGCAAGAGUAGGGGUAUGUACGCUAUUCGAUUUUGUUAUCCUGACUUGGUGGUUAUCACCUCGGGACAUGGCUCAAAUGUAUUUGCACAUUAUUUUAAAAAAACCUUUUGAUGCCCAA